rnacentral:rRNA from 1 species
CUGGCCUUGACAUACUAGAAACUUUCCAGAGAUGGAUUGGUGCCUUCGGGAAUCUAGAUACAGGUGCUGCAUGGCUGUCGUCAGCUCGUGUUGUGAAAUGUUGGGUUAAGUCCCGCAACGAGCGCAACCCUUAUCCUUUGUUGCCAGCGGUCCGGCCGGGAACUCAAAGGAGACUGCCAGUGAUAAACUGGAGGAAGGUGGGGAUGACGUCAAGUCAUCAUGGCCCUUACGAGUAGGGCUACACACGUGCUACAAUGGCGCAUACAAAGAGAAGCGACCUCGCGAGAGCAAGCGGACCUCAUAAAGUGCGUCGUAGUCCGGAUUGGAGUCUGCAACUCGACUCCAUGAAGUCGGAAUCGCUAGUAAUCGUAGAUCAGAAUGCUACGGUGAAUACGUUCCC